GCCAAAGAGGGGGACCUUCGGGCCUCUCGCGUCAAGAUAUGCCUAGGUGGGAUUAGCUAGUUGGUGAGGUAAUGGCUCACCAAGGCGACGAUCCCUAGCUGGUCUGAGAGGAUGAUCAGCCACACUGGAACUGAGACACGGUCCAGACUCCUACGGGAGGCAGCAGUGGGGAAUAUUGCACAAUGGGCGCAAGCCUGAUGCAGCCAUGCCGCGUGUAUGAAGAAGGCCUUCGGGUUGUAAAGUACUUUCAGCAGUGAGGAAGGUUCAUGCGUUAAUAGCGUAUGGAUUUGACGUUAGCUGCAGAAGAAGCACCGGCUAACUCCGUGCCAGCAGCCGCGGUAAUACGGAGGGUGCGAGCGUUAAUCGGAAUUACUGGGCGUAAAGCGCAUGCAGGUGGUUUGUUAAGUCAGAUGUGAAAGCCC
rnacentral:rRNA from 1 species